rnacentral:rRNA from 1 species
AUUGAACGCUGGCGGCAUACCUUACACAUGCAAGUCGAACGGCAGCACGGGAGCAAUCCUGGUGGCGAGUGGUGAACGGGUGAGUAAUAUAUCGGAACGUGCCCAGUCGUGGGGGAUAACGCAGCGAAAGCUGUGCUAAUACCGCAUACGAUCUAAGGAUGAAAGCGGGGGAUCGCAAGACCUCGCGCGAUUGGAGCGGCCGAUAUCAGAUUAGCUAGUUGGUGGGGUAAAGGCCCACCAAGGCGACGAUCUGUAGCUGGUCUGAGAGGACGACCAGCCACACUGGAACUGAGACACGGUCCAGACUCCUACGGGAGGCAGCAGUGGGGAAUUUUGGACAAUGGGCGCAAGCCUGAUCCAGCAAUGCCGCGUGCAGGAUGAAGGCCUUCGGGUUGUAAACUGCUUUUGUACGGAACGAAACGGCCCUUUCUAAUACAGGGGGCUAAUGACGGUACCGUAAGAAUAAGCACCGGCUAACUACGUGCCAGCAGCCGCAGUAA